ACACAAGACAAACUGGCGGAGAAAGAGUAAGGGGGUUGGGACAAGAGUUAACACCGGCUCCCCUGCAACACCAACCAGAGCAAUGUAGUGUGGACCGCCAAGGCCACAAGUAAAGGCUGGCUAGCCACUGCAUAUAAACGCUCGCUUCCUUACGGACGGCACACAAGUCUUCCACUCCUCAUUCAGUACACAAUCAACAGCCAUGAUUCGCCUCGUGUUCCUGGCGGUGGUGGCAGCCAUGGCUGUGGACGUCAUGGCAGUACCCGCUUGCCCAAAUAAUAUUCCCACAGGUCAACUUAGAAAUCUCCCUCUCGUACAAAGACCUGUGGGAGAGCUUCUUCUUAAAGUCUCAGACGAACGGCUUGCAGCUCAAGUUUUCGAAUGCUAUACUAAAGAUGGCAUUGACUGUACUCCUUGCCGGUCCGGGGAAUUGGGACAAAUCGUCGCGUUGCUGCCAGUCAUGCUGCAAGACUGCCAGGAACCGAACUCACCGGUCUGCCCACAAGAUCUGAGAGGAAAGGCUGCUCAGGUCGUCCAAAAAAUGAUAGAGUCUUACGGACAAAGAUACGCUAGCAUCGUUCAGAGGCUGUAGGUACAUCAAGAGGCAACACAGACCUCUCCUUUAAUUGUCUACCGACUCCCCGCUAUUUAACAAACAACUGUACUGGUGAUACGUUUCGUCCUUUCAUGACCACCGCCACCUCAUGGCUUCCCAGUGGUAUUUAAUUCAAUCAUUCCAAUAACUGUGAAACUAAAUAUAAUUUAUUAUUCAGUAUAUAAUAUCUUUAUUUUCCUUCCGACUUUGACACAGGUUUUUGUUAUGUAGACAACCUUCUUGCUGUAACAUGUGGGGCGUGAUGGCAUGCGGGCGGGGGGUAUUCAGGGGUGAAGAAUUUUAAAUGAUGGCUUCAUGAAGGAAAUAAUUUACAAAGACAUCACCAUCAACAAAUCCCAAGAACUAUGUCUACAUAGGCAGGGUGCCCCUCGCCGAUCUUCUGUUCACUAUAAGGAGAAAAGUGUACUUUGCACAAACAUCUGCCUGCUUCGGUAGUCCCUCUCAAGCGGACAACAAAGUGACCUCGAGGGCGAGUGAAACGUCGGGAAAAACGACUUUGUUUCGACAAGCAGGGAAGUGAAAUACUCAGCAGAGAUUGGUGCAUGCAGGCAGCUGUUUUUUGCACGUCUGUGACGGUCGUAUUGACCGUCUGGUAACAGACACUACUUCUUUGCUUCCCUCACCUCUUCCUCAAUGUGUUAAGUCUGCCCGUCAGGAACAGCGUUGCAAAUACGAAUGCAUCUACAGAUCAAUCCAUCAUUUCUUGCUUGUCUUUUUCAGGUUUACCCUCAAUUUACAUAACGAAUAAAAAGUACAGCAUGCAGGACUUUAAUAUACAAGAUAAUACACAGAGUUCACAGAGUCACAAACAUUAAUCUAUGUGGAAGGAUGUAAGACCUACUUAACGGGGGACGGAACAGGAAGAGCGAGUAAGACAAAAUGUGGAACACAAUAGAGGGCGCAAGGACGAGGCAGUAGCAUGGAAGUAAGGAAACGAUACACACACACACACACACACACACACACACACACACACACAGAGGGGAGGGGAGGGGAAGGAGGCAUACAAAUGAAGGAGACGAGUGAAAGUGGUUGAGGUGAGUGACAUCCAGCAACCUCGACCUAUAUCCUACCUUGGAGCAACAGAGAACAAGAAUGAAGCUAGAUUACAGUUCAUCAUAAUGCUCCUCCUUCACACCCACCGUCCCUCCCCUCUGCCCUGAAGUGACCGAGGAGGAUAAAGGAGUAAGGACGGAGGCUUGCUGGACGUCCUGCCACUCGUGUUGUAUUAGGUAAGCCGCCCUCUCCGCCACCAUGGUCACCGCUGCGUUGGUGUUCGCUGAGGGCAACGUCGGAAACACUGCAGCAUCCACCACCCGCAGGCCAGACACGUCCACCACCCUGCCACGCCACCAACACCAGUGUGAAUAAAAGGGUGACAAGUGGCGGAGGGACAGGAGGAUGAAGAGAAUAUCGUGAAGGGCAGACGAGUUCAAAAGACGCCAAAUGAACCAGGUGGUAUUUGCAAACUCGCUCCCGCCUCCUUUCCCCGCCACUCCUUCAAGGUUGGCUGGCCGCUGCAUAUAAACGGCUCGCUUCCAUACGGACGACACACAAGUCUUCCACUCCUCGUUCAGUGCACAAUCAACAGUCAUGACUCGUCUCAUGUUCCUGGCGGUGGUGGCAGCCAUGGUUGUGGACGUCAUGGCGGGACCCGCCUGCCAGUCUCCUAUUCCUAACAAUAGACUUAGAGAACUUCCUCUCGUAAAUCUCCCAGUGCAAACUCUUGUUCAAAGGGUCGGAGAUUCACAGCUUGCAGAUCAAGUUUACCAGUGCUAUACUAACGAUGGCAUGGAUUGUACUCCCUGCCAGAGUGGGGAAGUGAGUGAAAUCGUCGCGUUGUUGCCAGUCCUGCUGCAAGACUGCCAGACGAAGAACUCAAAUGUGUGCCCAAGAGACCUGCAGCCAAAGGCUGCCAGAAUCGUACAAGAGAUGAUAAAAACUUACGGAAACCGAUAUGAUGCCAUCCUAACACGGCUGUAGGAACACCAAGCAGCAACACAAGACUCUCCCUUACCCGUCUACUGAUUCCCCGCUAACAACUGUAGAGGGGAUGCGUAUCAUCCUAUCACGACCAUCUCCACCUCAUAGCUUCCCAGUGGUACUAUAUCUGUAAAACCAAUCAGGAUUUAUAUCCGAGAAUAUACUAUUACAGAGGAUGGCUUGAUUGACCGUGAUACUUGUGUUUUGUAAUUUUCUUAUCUUUGUUUUCUCCCUUUUAACAAUGUAAUAUUCAUUUUUGAGGCUUGUUUUUGGUCUUGUUACUUCCCUGGCCUAUGAUUUGUGAAAAUAUUAUUAGUACUGCAAUAAAUUGUUUACUUAU